GUACACGAGCGGCGAACGGGUGAGUAACACGUGAGCAACCUGCCCCUGACUCCGGGAUAAGCGGUGGAAACGCCGUCUAAUACCGGAUAUGACCUGCCACCUCAUGGUGGCGGGUGGAAAGUUUUUCGGUCAGGGAUGGGCUCGCGGCCUAUCAGCUUGUUGGUGGGGUAACGGCCUACCAAGGCGAUUACGGGUAGCCGGCCUGAGAGGGCGACCGGCCACACUGGGACUGAGACACGGCCCAGACUCCUGCGGGAGGCAGCAGUGGGGAAUAUUGCGCAAUGGGCGAAAGCCUGACGCAGCGACGCCGCGUGGGGGAUGACGGCCUUCGGGUUGUAAACCUCUUUUACCACCAACGCAGGCUCCCAGUUCUCUGGGGGUUGACGGUAGGUGGGGAAUAAGGACCGGCUAACUACGUGCCAGCAGCCGCGGUAAUACGUAGGGUCCGAGCGUUGUCCGGAAUUAUUGGGCGUAAAGAGCUCGUAGGCGGCGUGUCGCGUCUGCUGUGAAAGACCGGGGCUUAACUCCGGUUCUGCAGUGGAUACGGGCAUGCUAGAGGUAGGUAGGGGAGACUGGAAUUCCUGGUGUAGCGGUG
rnacentral:rRNA from 1 species